rnacentral:tRNA from 1 species
UCUAACGUGGCAGAAUUAAUGCAUUGAAUUUAAGAUUCAAUUAUAAAUAUAAUUAUUUCUUUAGAA